rnacentral:ncRNA from 1 species
UCAAAAGCUAUGAAGAGGACAGUAGUAAAGGGAAGUAGUAUACAGAGAAAUAAUCACUAGGUGAGAGAUUAUUGCGAAGCCUUUUAUGAAAAUCACCUCAGAGCUUAAUGCUUGAACUAAAGUAAAGCAUUACGUAAUAUGCGUUAAAUUAUAAUGAGUGAUAGGAGAGUAUUACUUUCCUAUAAUUUGGGUGGUAACACGGUAAACAAUCGUCCCUAGG